CCCUUCGAUGCUCUGGGCCGCACGCGCGCUACACUGACGUAUUCAGAGAGCUCAUUUCCAUACGGAAACGUCCUUGGCCGAAAGGUCUGGGUAAUCUUCAAAAGUACGUCGUGCUAGGGAUUGGCUCUUGUAAUUUUUAGCCAUGAACGAGGAAUUCCUAGUAAGCGCAAGUCAUCAGCUUGCGCUGAUUACGUCCCUGCUCCUUGUACACACCGCCCGUCGCUUCUACCGAUUGGACGAUGCGGUGAAGCCUCCGGAUGCUAGAAGCGUUCUCUGCUGACUCUGUUGGCAGUUGCUUCUUGGCAGAAGUUGGUUAAACCUUAUCGUCUAGAGGAAGGAGAAGUCGUAACA
rnacentral:rRNA from 1 species